rnacentral:rRNA from 1 species
GACGAACGCUGGCGGCGUGCCUAACACAUGCAAGUCGAACGGAAAGGCCCUGCUUUUGUGGGGUGCUCGAGUGGCGAACGGGUGAGUAACACGUGAGUAACCUGCCCUUGACUUUGGGAUAACUUCAGGAAACUGGGGCUAAUACCGGAUAGGAGCUCCUGCUGCAUGGUGGGGGUUGGAAAGUUUCGGCGGUUGGGGAUGGACUCGCGGCUUAUCAGCUUGUUGGUGGGGUAGUGGCUUACCAAGGCUUUGACAGGUAGCCGGCCUGAGAGGGUGACCGGCCACAUUGGGACUGAGAUACGGCCCAGACUCCUACGGGAGGCAGCAGUGGGGAAUAUUGCACAAUGGGCGGAAGCCUGAUGCAGCAACGCCGCGUGCGGGAUGACGGCCUUCGGGUUGUAAACCGCUUUCGCCUGUGACGAAGCGUGAGUGACGGUAAUGGGUAAAGAAGCACCGGCUAACUACGUG